AUGGAUGACAAACCUUUUUCAUUGUGCAAUGCAAAUACAGGAUCGGCGCCGGAGUCUGAGUUGAGCGCUUUCCGCAAAGGUUUCGGAUUGCCUGUUUGGGUGUUCUUCAAGAUUGAGCCCAGCAUGUCCAAGAUGCCAAAUCCAGAGAAGAAGUUGUUCAGGAUGCCAAGCGCAGAUGCCGAGAUGGCUGCACUGCACAAGGAAUGGGAUGAUGCUCGGUGUCCAAUUUGCAUGGACCAUCCUCACAAUGCUGUGCUUCUGUUGUGCAGUUCUCAUGACAAAGGAUGCAGAUCCUACAUCUGUGAUACAAGCUAUAGACACUCAAAUUGCCUAGACAGAUUCAGGAAAAUGAAAGUGAACCGCAUGGACAGUUCAUCACAGCCAAGCUCUUCCUUGCCUGGAGAUACAAGUAACCAAAAUGUUUCAGAGAGAUCCCGUCUCGGUCCCAGUAGAGGGAGCCCCAGGCUGUUAAUAGAUGUACCUGAAUUCCGUGAAAAUCUCAGUCAUGAACAUGUCCGUAGCCCUGCAGCCGUAUCUGGACAGCAAGAAGGAACUAACUAUAAUCAAGGUCCAGUAACAUUGGAAGCUCUUAUGGGACAAGUGACUGGGCAAGUUGAGUCAGCUGAGGCAUCCAACUCGAAUGAAUUGAUGUGCCCACUGUGUAGGGGUGCUGUGAAGGGCUGGGAGAUCAUCAAAGAUGCCAGACAGUACUUGGACGAGAAGCCAAGAAGCUGCUCGCGGGAAGCAUGCGCAUUUUCUGGUACCUAUGGUGCGCUCCGUAGACAUGCCAGGAGGGUGCACCCCACUACCAGGCCUGCUGAUGUGGACCCGUCAAGGCGACGCGCAUGGCACCGCCUGGAGAACCAGCGGGAGUAUGGUGACAUAAUGAGCGCAAUCAGGUCGGCUAUGCCUGGGUCAGUUGUGCUUGGAGAUUACGUCAUUGAAGGUGGGCCAAGUGCAGACGAGCGUGAAGACGGUGGGCCAAGUGAGCGAAGCGGGUCUCUGUUGACGACGUUCUUUCUAUUCCAUAUGAUGAACAGUGGUCCGCUGAGAUCAGGAGAUGAGCCAAGAUCCUCAUCAAGGGCCCUGAGAAGGCAGAGGCGCCGCUAUCUGUGGGGAGAGAACUUGCUAGGCCUCCAAUAUGACGACGACGAUGAUGAGGACGAGGAUAGCCUAGACGAGGAGGUUCAGAGGCCCAGGACUCGCAGGAGGUUUGUGAGGUCAAGGUCGGAGGAGCGGCGCUGA
rnacentral:rRNA from 1 species